rnacentral:rRNA from 1 species
GAUGAACGCUGGCGGCGUGCUUAACACAUGCAAGUCGAACGAUGAACCGGGUGCUUGCACUCGGGGAUUAGUGGCGAACGGGUGAGUAACACGUGAGCAACCUGCCCCUGACUCUGGGAUAAGCGCUGGAAACGGCGUCUAAUACUGGAUAUGUCCCGUCACCGCAUGGUGUGCGGGUGGAAAGAUUUUUCGGUCAAGGAUGGACUCGCGGCCUAUCAGCUAGUUGGUGAGGUAACGGCUCACCAAGGCGACGACGGGUAGCCGGCCUGAGAGGGUGACCGGCCACACUGGGACUGAGACACGGCCCAGACUCCUACGGGAGGCAGCAGUGGGGAAUAUUGCACAAUGGGCGCAAGCCUGAUGCAGCAACGCCGCGUGAGGGAUGACGGCCUUCGGGUUGUAAACCUCUUUUAGUAGGGAAGAAGCGAAAGUGACGGUACCUGCAGAAAAAGCACCGGCUAACUACGUGCCAGCCGCCGCGGUAA